rnacentral:rRNA from 1 species
UCGGCCUGGGAGGGCACGCGCUCACUCGAAAAACGCUCCCCUGCGGAUCACAGGCUUACCUCCACCAAGAGUCCACAUCGACGUGUAGGUAUGGCACCUCGAUGUCGGCUCAUCACAUCUUCGGGUGGGAGUAGGUCCAAAGGGUUGGGCAGUUAGCCCAGGAAAGUGGUAGGCGCGCUGGGUUCAGAACGUCGUGGGACAGUUCGGUCCCUAUCCGUCGCAGGCGUAGGAAAUUUGAGGAGACCUGUCCUUAGUACGAGAGGCCCGGGAUGGACGUACCUCUGGUGUACCAGUUGU